rnacentral:lncRNA from 1 species
GGGGUUCUCCUUCUCCAUGACGAUUACCAUGAAUACUUGAGUUGGAUCCUGCCAUGUUAGCACUAAAGCAAAAUACAGUGGAAUGGGUAAAUUUGUGGAAUAAAACAACCUCACCUCUUACUUACCAAUGCUCUUUCCUGUUCUCAAGGACAGUGAAUUGUGCUAGUGUAGCAGCUCAACAGAAGUGAUUCCGAGGUCGCAAGGAUUACGAGUCGAAUGUCCUGGUUUCAGUUUUAGGUGGAGCUAUAGGUGGCUAAACAAGGGAGGCUACGGUACUAAAAAUCAAGUGAUUUAAUGUGCUGAAAUGAUAUAAUGUUGCUGGUAAAUAAAUCACUAAGAAUCUGAAUUCGUAAACUGAAUUCUUUCAGUAAGCAGACUGCAAUACAACCCCUCUCCUCUUCUUCUACAUUUUCUGUUCUUUCUCUUUUCUUUUGUCUGAAUUUUUUUCACUGACUUUUUUGUGAACUCUUUUUUUUAUACUAACAGGGGUGCGGAUAACAAAUGAAACACAACACAAUAUAUGUAAACAGAGUGAUUAGCAACUUGAUGAACACAUAAACACAAGAUAACAAUACCGUCAAAGGGCUUUAGGAUUUUUUUGUGGCUUUCUAGCGGACUAUAGGUGAUG